CUUGAAGGAAAUUAGCCUGUUAUCCCUAUGGUAGUUAUUUCUUUUAAUCGCUUCUGCGGAUCAUUAAAUAGGAUUAUAUCCUUAAACUUUAAGGAAGAUUUAUUCUUUUCCUCAGUCGCCCCAACUAAAUUGCUAAUAUUUUAUUUUCUUGAGGUAUGUAAGCGAAUAAAAUGGUUGCAAUAAAACUCAAUAGGGUCUUUUUGUCUUUUUAAUAAAUUUAGGCUUUUUCACCUAAAGAUUAAUUUUUAUUUUUAGAGAGGAGAC
rnacentral:rRNA from 1 species